AUGAACGCUGGCGGCGUGCCUAAUACAUGCAAGUCGAGCGAACGGACGAGAAGCUUGCUUCUCUGAUGUUAGCGGCGGACGGGUGAGUAACACGUGGAUAACCUACCUAUAAGACUGGGAUAACUUCGGGAAACCGGAGCUAAUACCGGAUGAUAUUUUGAACCGCAUGGUUCAAAAGUGAAAGACGGUCUUGCUGUCACUUAUAGAUGGAUCCGCGCUGCAUUAGCUGGUUGGUAAGGUAACGGCUUACCAAGGCAACGAUGCAUAGCCGACCUGAGAGGGUGAUCGGCCACACUGGAACUGAGACACGGUCCAGACUCCUACGGGAGGCAGCAGUAGGGAAUCUUCCGCAAUGGGCGAAAGCCUGACGGAGCAACGCCGCGUGAGUGAUGAAGGUCUUCGGAUCGUAAAACUCUGUUAUUAGGGAAGAACAUAUGUGUAAGUAACUGUGCACAUCUUGACGGUACCUAAUCAGAAAGCCACGGCUAACUACGUG
rnacentral:rRNA from 1 species